CGUAGGCUCCAAGCGUUGUCCGGAUUUAUUGGGCGUAAAGAGCUCGUAGGCGGUUUAGUAAGUCGGGUGUGAAAACUCUGGGCUUAACCCGGAGACGCCAUCCGAUACUGCUAUGACUUGAGUUCAGGAGGGGAGCGGGGAAUUCCUAGUGUAGCGGUGAAAUGCGCAGAUAUUAGGAGGAAACCCGGUGGCGAAGGCGCCGCUCUGGACUGAAACUGACGCUGGGGGGCGAAAGGAUGGGUAGCAAAAAGGAUUAGAUCCCCUGGGAGUCCAUGCCGUAAACGGUGGGCACUAGGUGUUGGUUCCAACUAACGGGAUCCGCGCCGUCGCUAACGCAUUAAGUGCCCCGCCUGGGGAGUACGGUCGCAAGACUA
rnacentral:rRNA from 1 species